rnacentral:rRNA from 1 species
ACUCCUACGGGAGGCAUCAGUGGGGAAUAUUGGACAAUGGGCGAAAGCCUGAUCCAGCCAUGCCGCGUGUGUGAAGAAGGUCUUCGGAUUGUAAAGCACUUUAAGUUGGGAGGAAGGGCAGUAAGCUAAUACCUUGCUGUUUUGACGUUACCGACAGAAUAAGCACCGGCUAACUCUGUGCCAGCAGCCGCGGUAAU